CCGCUGCCCGGCCGCGCCGCGCUCCCGCGCUCAGCCGCGGCCCCCUGGCUUCAUGCCCGUGGCGUUCGCAGUACACGCUGACGCCAACGCGGGCUGGAGCAGGCUCGCGGAGAGGCUUUACGGCCGCACCAUGGCCGUCAUCGACCGCUGCGCCGGGACUUGAGCACCGUCCAGCCGGACGACGUCGUCAUAAUCGACGACGACGACGAAACCGCGGCGCUGUCGUCUCCAAACCCUGCGGUUGUUGAAGCUGAAGCCAGUGAUGUGGUUGUCGAAGCGGACACUGUCGGCCGUCGCGCCUGCCGUCCCCGAUGCCCGCCACUCCUCCGCCUGCGCCACGCUCCGGCGCCCGCCGCCGUCUUAUCGGCCUUCUCCUAACGACCUCGCCGUCGAGCAGCCGCUCCGGCGCACUGGUACAUGGAGCCCCUAGAGCGAGAGGAUUUCUAUGGUAGUCUCCGUGAGUGAGGGAUCCAGCGCUGGAGAUUUCAUCUCUAGUGGGGACUUGUUUCCUUAUCUCUUCGGUUGACCAGACCGUGGGCUGCCACACAUGCCUUCACGUGGCAUACGCGCAUGUGGCUGGUAAUUAAGCCAUGGCCCACGAACGGCUAAAACAUGCCCUCUAGCACAUUUCAGCUUUUAGUUCAUUUGUGCUUUAACAGUAUUUUUAAGCGAUGGUUAGUUCCCACUUUAAACUGUUAAAAUCAGUACAUCUAGUACUGUCUUUUGUUGAAUAUCAACGUAUUCCAGAUCCUAAAUUGAUGUUAUAUAUCUU
rnacentral:rRNA from 1 species